rnacentral:rRNA from 1 species
UACAGAGGAUGCAAGCGUUAUCCGGAAUGAUUGGGCGUAAAGCGUCUGUAGGUGGCUUUUUAAGUCCGCCGUCAAAUCCCAGGGCUCAACUCUGGACAGGCGGUGGAAACUACCAAGCUGGAGUACGGUAGGGGCAGAGGGAAUUUCCGGUGGAGCGGUGAAAUGCGUAGAGAUGCGGAAGAACACCAGUGGCGAAGGCGGUUUACUGGUCUACAACUGACACUGAGACGCGAAAGCAUGGGUAGCGAACGGG